rnacentral:snRNA from 1 species
AAAUUCAUGAUGGACAUAUGCCAUCCUAUUGAUCACCAGAGUUGACUGGGCUGACCUGCCUGGCUAGGUGGGUGUGCCUUCUUCACUGCUCUAUGUGUUCCCUCCCAAAGCUGCGAGCUUGGUCAAAAUGGAUGACCUUCCCUGAGUAGAGACAGACCGGUUUUGCAA